rnacentral:rRNA from 1 species
AGGAGCGUGCGGUUUAAUUGGAUUCAACGCCGGAAAACUCACCAGGGCCGACUGUUAGAUGAAGACCAGUGUAAUGAACUUGUCGGAUUUUCAGAGAGGUGGUGCAUGGCCGUCGUCAGUUCGUACUGUAAAGCGUUCUGUUAAGUCAGAUAACGAACGAGACCCUCAUCUCUAUUUGCUACCUGUCUCUCCGGAGACAGCGCACUAUAGGGAGACCGCUGGUGUUAAACCAGAGGAAGGCGAGGGCAACGACAGGUCAGUAUGCCCCGAAUGUCCUGGGCUACACGCGCGCUACAAAGGACGGGACAAUGGGAAGCCAGGCCGAGAGGCAUCGAGCUAACCCGAAACCCGUUCAUAGUUCGGAUUGAGGGCUGUAACUCGCCCUCAUGAAGCUGGAUUCCGUAGUAAUCGUGUUUCAAUAUAGCACGGUGAAUAUGCCCCUGCUCCUUGCACACACCGCCCGUCAAACCAUCUUAGUUGGGGGUGGGUGAGGCUGCGCUUUAUGGCGUAUUCGAGCCUGCCUUCGACAAGGAGGGUUAAGUCGUAACAAGGUAUCUGUAGGGGAACCUGCAGGUG